UUUAGGGAUAGAGGCGCAGUGCUUAAGAGUAAUUAUUCCGAGAUGCCAGUCGAUGACGAAUAAAGAAAGGAAACACUGCCGAAGCCGGAUGAUGGCCAAGAGUCGGGCUGGGUUUAUACUGAAAGAGUAUAAAACUGUCAUUCUGAAACGGAAUGAAGCGCUAUUCGGAAC
rnacentral:ncRNA from 2 species